rnacentral:tRNA from 1 species
UAGCUCAGUUGGUAGAGCAUCUGACUUUUAAUCAGAGGGUCGCUGGUUCGAACCCAG